AUUGAACGCUGGCGGCAGGCCUAACACAUGCAAGUCGAACGGUAACAGGAAACAGCUUGCUGUUUCGCUGACGAGUGGCGGACGGGUGAGUAAUGUCUGGGAAACUGCCUGAUGGAGGGGGAUAACUACUGGAAACGGUAGCUAAUACCGCAUAACGUCGCAAGACCAAAGAGGGGGACCUUCGGGCCUCUUGCCAUCGGAUGUGCCCAGAUGGGAUUAGCUAGUAGGUGGGGUAACGGCUCACCUAGGCGACGAUCCCUAGCUGGUCUGAGAGGAUGACCAGCCACACUGGAACUGAGACACGGUCCAGACUCCUACGGGAGGCAGCAGUGGGGAAUAUUGCACAAUGGGCGCAAGCCUGAUGCAGCCAUGUCGCGUGUAUGAAGAAGGCCCUCGGGUUGUAAAGUACUUUCAGCGGGGAGGAAGGGAGUAAAGUUAAUACCUUUGCUCAUUGACGUUACCCGCAGAAGAAGCACCGGCUAACUCCGUGCCAGCAGCCGCCGCGG
rnacentral:rRNA from 1 species